rnacentral:rRNA from 1 species
GGAGUUUGGGCCGUGUCUCAGUCCCAAUGUGGCCGUUCACCCUCUCAGGCCGGCUACUGAUCGUCGCUUUGGUAGGCCGUUACCCUGCCAACUGGCUAAUCAGACGCGGGUCCAUCUUUCACCACCGGAGUUUUUCACACCAGACGAUGCCGUCCUGUGCGCUUAUGCGGUAUUAGCAGUCAUUUCUAACUGUUAUCCCCCUGUGAAAGGCAGGUUACCCACGCGUUACUCACCCGUCCGCCACUAAGUUUACAGAGCAAGCUCCGUAAACUCCGUUCGACUUGCAUGUGUUAAGCACGCCGCCAGCGUUCAUC